rnacentral:rRNA from 1 species
CGCGAGCGACUUAAAAAUAAGAGUCGGCAGACGGGAGAGUAACACGUGGGAACGUGCCCUUCAGUUUCGGAACAACCCAGGGGAAACAUUGGGCGUAAUACCGGAUACGUCCGUUAAGGAGAAAGAUUUAUCGCUGAAGGAUCGGCCCGCGUCUGAUUAGCUAGUUGGUGAGGUAACGGCUCACCAAGGCGACGAUCAGUAGCUGGUCUGAGAGGAUGAUCAGCCUCACUGGGACUGAGACACGGCCCAGACUCCUACGGGAGGCAGCAGCUGGGGAAUAUUGGACAAUGGGCGCAAGCCUGAUCCAGCCAUGCCGCGUGGAUGAUGAAGGCCCUAGGGUUGUAAAGUCCUUUCGGCGGGGAAGAUAAUGACGGUACCCGCAGAAUAAGCCCCGGCUAACUUCGUGCCAGCAGCCGCGGUAAUACGAAGGGGGCUUUCGUUGCUCGGAAUCACUGGGCGUAAAGCGCACGUAGGCGGCUUUUUAAGUCAGGGGUGAAAUCCUGGAGCUCAACUCCAGGAACUGCCUUUGAUACUGAGAAGCUUGAGUCCGGGAGAGGUGAGUGGAACUGCGAGUGUAGAGGUGAAAUUCGUAGAUAUUCGCAAGUAACACCAGUGGCGAAAGGCGGCUCACUGGCCCGGUACUGACGCUGAGGUGCUAAAUGCGUGGGGAGCAAACAGGAUUAGAUCCCUGGUAGUCCACGCUUUAAAACGAUGGAUGCUAGCCGUUGUUCGGAUUUACUUCGAUCAGUGGGUGCCAGCUAACGCUAUUAAGCAUUCCUGGCCUGUGUGAGUACGGUUGCCAAAAUUAAACUUCAAAGGAAUUUGACUGGGGGCCCCGC